UACGUAGGGGGCAAGCGUUGUCCGGAAUCAUUGGGCGUAAAGAGCUCGAUAGGCGGCUUGUCACGUCGGAUGUGAAAGCCCGAGGCUUAACCUCGGGUCUGCAUUCGAUACGGGCUAGCUAGAGUGUGGUAGGGGAGAUCGGAAUUCCUGGUGUAGCGGUGAAAUGCGCAGAUAUCAGGAGGAACACCGGUGGCGAAGGCGGAUCUCUGGGCCAUUACUGACGCUGAGGAGCGAAAGCGUGGGGAGCGAACAGG
rnacentral:rRNA from 1 species